rnacentral:lncRNA from 1 species
GCAGCCACCUGCCAAAAUUCCUGCAGCUGAGCCCCAGUGCUGCGCUUCCUGUGGUCCUUGCUGCUGGCUGGGUGGCCAUCCCAGGUGGGAGAGACCCUGGGGACAGGGAAUAUGAGGGAUACAGGCACAUGUGUGUGCGUGCCCGCACACCGCACACACACACACACACACACACACACACACACACACACACACACACACGCUUUCCUCCUCCAAACCUAUCAAACAGGCAAUCGGGCAGUGCCUCCUGGGACCACAGACACAUGUUCUCCAAGGAGAACAGCCUGCUAAUUUAAUCUCAGCGACAGGAAGAGAGGAAGAAACAAUUGCUGUUAAGACGAGGAGGACUUCUUCCUGUUAAAGCUGCAAGGCCCUUGGGGUUCCCUCGGACAGAACUGCAAAUCAACCCCGGAACUCUCGCUCAAGGGCAAUUGCUGACGGGUGGAACUUGGGCUUGCGAGAGGAGGCAGGUCCAUGAGAGACCUGCCCUUGGAACCUCAGCCAGCACAGCGCUCAUCGAGGUGAGCUGGCUGUGCUGUGUGCACGGCUGGGGUUGUCACCUACAUCAGCCUUCCUCUCGGACAAGAGGCUUUUCUCUGUGCAUCUGGAGUGCCGCCAUUCCUCCAUCUGCCCGUUCAUCCGCCAUCCUGUCUUUGCCUUGGGGAGGGGGGAGGUUUGUUGAAGUCAUGCCGUGCAGCUCUUUCUGGAAACAUCUGUGGAUGGUGUUGAAGAUAAGCAUGGGGGAGAUACAACAGAGGUAGUCUUUGCCCAUGCCCACUUCUUGCCUGGUCCUUUAAGCCACUUUGCUCUUGGUUUCUGCCCUGCAUGGGUACUACUAGGGCAGGUCCCAAGUUGAGAAGCCCAGAGGUGAGGUGUGAACCCUCAGUUCUGUUGUAAAGAUGCUCAAAUACCCUCUAAGGUUCAUCUAAAGGAGUAACCUGCCUAGGGGUGCUGUUGACCUGAAAUCAAGAGGACCAAAGGAUCCAUUGCCAACACCCCCCAUCCCCCACACACACCUCAUCUGUGACCAGAGUCUAUGCUUUGAAUCAGAAUGGGCUAUAUCCUCUGACCUCAGAGGCUAUGACCCAGAAGAGAUUCUUCCCUGAAUCCUCCCACUUUGCACACAUAUAGACUUUAUCCUUCUUCACUCUGUGUCUAUUCAAAUGUAUAAUUCUGGUUUCUCUCACCCCACGGAAGAACUAGAUCACAGCAACUGUUAUGUUUGAGGGAGUGGGGGAGAAGGUGAUUGAUUUGACCCCCUCUCCCCCACCGGUGUUGAUAAGUAGCGUCUGUCCCACCUCCAGACUCCACCCACACAUAAUGAGCAGCACAUAGACCAGGAUGGGGGAGGGGGGUGGUAUAUCAUGCUUGCCCUCCUCCAACCACUAUGAGAAGGCUAGCAGAAGACACCACUGCACAGACCCAAGUCCAAGGACUGCCUCCCCAGGGAAUUAGGCAGUGACUUCCUAGAGGCCAAGAAAGACUCCAAGAGCUGGAGAAGAAUCCUAGUCAUCUGGAUCUCUUUUGAGGUUGGGGUUGGGGUGGCUUUCAAUGGAUUCUCUCAUGAGGCUUAUCUCUCCCUCAUCCCGUGGAGAGUGGGGGACCCUCCCUAGUGCUCACACUAGACACUGUGCCCCUUGGAGAGGCAUAAGGCAUGUAUGGGAGAUAAUAAUGGGCUAUAAAACAUGCCAAGCAGAAAAUAUCUUAUCCUUCAAGCUUC